GGGGGGKCUUAMCAUGCAGUCGACGAUGAGCCCUUCGGGGUGGAUUAGUGGCGAACGGGUGAGUAACACGUGGGCAAUCUGCCCUUCACUCUGGGACAAGCCCUGGAAACGGGGUCUAAUACCGGAUACGAGUUCGGGAGGCAUCUCCUGGACUGGAAAGCUCCGGCGGUGAAGGAUGAGCCCGCGGCCUAUCAGCUUGUUGGUGGGGUAACGGCCCACCAAGGCGACGACGGGUAGCCGGCCUGAGAGGGCGACCGGCCACACUGGGACUGAGACACGGCCCAGACUCCUACGGGAGGCAGCAGUGGGGAAUAUUGCACAAUGGGCGAAAGCCUGAUGCAGCGACGCCGCGUGAGGGAUGACGGCCUUCGGGUUGUAAACCUCUUUCAGCAGGGAAGAAGCGAGAGUGACGGUACCUGCAGAAGAAGCGCCGGCUAACUACGUGCCAGCAGCCGCGGUAAUACGUAGGGCGCAAGCGUUGUCCGGAAUUAUUGGGCGUAAAGAGCUCGUAGGCGGCUUGUCACGUCGGGUGUGAAAGCCCGGGGCUUAACCCCGGGUCUGCAUCCGAUACGGGCAGGCUAGAGUGUGGUAGGGGAGAUCGGAAUUCCUGG
rnacentral:rRNA from 1 species